rnacentral:rRNA from 1 species
GAUGAACGCUGGCGGCGUGCCUAAUACAUGCAAGUCGAGCGAACGGACGAGAAGCUUGCUUCUCUGAUGUUAGCGGCGGACGGGCGCGUCACACGUGGACCCCCUCCCUCCCAGCCUCGGCUCACUUCCCGACACCCCCCCCCAUCCCCCCUCCUCUUUUCCACCGCAUGGUUCAAAAGUGAAAGACGGUCUUGCUGUCACUUAUAGAUGGAUCCGCGCUGCAUUAGCUAGUUGGUAAGGUAACGGCUUACCAAGGCAACGAUGCAUAGCCGACCUGAGAGGGUGAUCGGCCACACUGGAACUGAGACACGGUCCAGACUCCUACGGGAGGCAGCAGUAGGGAAUCUUCCGCAAUGGGCGAAAGCCUGACGGAGCAACGCCGCGUGAGUGAUGAAGGUCUUCGGAUCGUAAAACUCUGUUAUUAGGGAAGAACAUAUGUGUAAGUAACUGUGCACAUCUUGACGGUACCUAAUCAGAAAGCCACGGCUAACUACGUG